UACGUAGGGUGCAAGCGUUAAUCGGAAUUACUGGGCGUAAAGCGUGCGCAGGCGGUUUUGUAAGUCUGUCGUGAAAUCCCCGGGCUCAACCCUGGGAAUGGCGAUGGAGACUGCAAGGCUAGAGUUUGGCAGAGGGGGGUAGAAUUCCACGUGUAGCAGUGAAAUGCGUAGAUAUGUGGAGGAACACCGAUGGCGAAGGCAGCCCCCUGGGUCAAAACUGACGCUCAUGCACGAAAGCGUGGGGAGCAAACAGG
rnacentral:rRNA from 1 species